rnacentral:rRNA from 1 species
AGAGUUUGAUCAUGGCUCAGGAUGAACGCUGGCGGCGUGCUUAACACAUGCAAGUCGAACGGGAAAUAUUUCAUUGAGACUUCGGUGGAUUUGAUCUAUUUCUAGUGGCGGACGGGUGAGUAACGCGUGGGUAACCUGCCUUAUACAGGGGGAUAACAGUCAGAAAUGGCUGCUAAUACCGCAUAAGCGCACAGAGCUGCAUGGCUCAGUGUGAAAAACUCCGGUGGUAUAAGAUCGG